rnacentral:rRNA from 1 species
AACCUGCCCCAGACUCUGGGAUAACCGUCGGAACCGAUGCUAAUACCGGAUACGACCACUUCGGACAUCCGACGGUGGUGGAAAGUUUUUCGGUCUGGGAUGGGCCCGCGGCCUAUCAGCUAGUUGGUGGGGUAAUGGCCUACCAAGGCGACGACGGGUAGCCGGCCUGAGAGGGCGACCGGCCACACUGGAACUGAGACACGGUCCAGACUCCUACGGGAGGCAGCAGUGGGGAAUAUUGCACAAUGGGCGAAAGCCUGAUGCAGCGACGCCGCGUGAGGGACGACGGCCUUCGGGUUGUAAACCUCUUUCAGCAGGGACGAAGCGAAAGUGACUGUACCUGCAGAAGAAGCACCGGCUAACUACGUGCCAGCAGCCGCGGUAAUACGUAGGGUGCAAGCGUUGUCCGGAUUUAUUGGGCGUAAAGAGCUCGUAGGCGGUUUGUCGCGUCGGAUGUGAAAAACCUAUGGCUUAACCAUGGGCCUGCAUUCGAUACGGGCAAACUAGAGUUCGGUAGGGGAG